AAAUUUGACCGAUGUCAUGAGAAUAUGUUGGUUGAGUUAAUGGCAGAGUCAACUAACAUGAGGGGGAAAUUGUAACACUAAUCUAAAAACCUUUAGGCUGUAUUUGGAUCAAGAAUAUAGGAAGAAAAAAAAUAGAUCAUCUAAUAAUUACGAACUGUUGGAUCGUCUCACCAAAUUUUUGAUCUAAAUUCAGUCAUAGAAGGAAGAAUGUAGUUUUCAGAAUUUGAAGGGAAAAUCUGUGGUAAUCAUAAACCUCAGGGGGAUGAGUGUAGUAUACCCAACGUGUAAGUUGUAAGUUUGUCAGGAUUCAUGAAUCAGUUGUUUUACAGGAAUCACAGAAAGUCACGUGAGUCUGACACUUGUAAUAAAGAGAGUGGAGAUAUUUAAGUCCGUAGAAGAAGAAUAGAGCCAUUCACGGACGUAAUUGAUGAGAGAGAGAGAGAAGGUGACUGACUACUUGGCCCCAAGAAUCAAUGACUUUGAUCAGACUCACAAAAAUAGGAGAGAGAGAGAGAGAGGUGGGACCGUGGGAGUGGGUUUCCUUUAUUCGCUGUUGAUUGGGGACACGUGGACGACGCACACAAAGGUAGGCGAGAGACAGAGAGAGGUGGGAGUGGGUUUCCUUUAUUCGUUGUUGGUUGGGGACACGUGGACGACUCACAGAAGCUUGCCGACAGAAAGAAAAUGCUAUCCUGCUAGUGGGUACCAUGGCCACCCAUGCAGGCGCCACGUGAAACCAAGUAUUUUUUAUCAAAAAAAAAAAAGAGUGGUAUUAAGAUGGGCUCGAGCCCAUGGUAUUACCAGAAAACAAAAGCUCGCAUAUCGUGGCGCUUCCCACGUCAUCAGUGGAAGUGGACCUACUUAAAUUAUUAUUUUUUUUAAAGUGGGGUCCACCCCCAAAUGAGUAAAUGUGGGCGUGCCACGUAGGCGAGCCCGUGGUAAUAACACGGGUUCGAGCCCGUCUGAUCAGCACUCCAAAAAAAAUAGGGAUAAUACCUUUUGUAAUACUUAUAUGUGAUGAAAUCUACAAAACUAGAGAUUAUAUUUUGUACAAUGGAGACUCACAUAUGGUGGGCUCACAAAAAUAUAGGUCCCACUAUAUAUAAGUAUGCAUUGUACAAAAUGUAUUAUCUGUAACAUUGCUUUUUAGAUCUCAUUUUUUAGUUUAUUUAGAUGGUCCAAAUGUUCAUUUGAAUAUAAAUUACUAGUCGAUCAAUAUUAAUUUAUAUCAAAUUAUAUACUUAUAAUUUUUCGUGUCAUACUCAUUUGUUAUAUUAUAAAACAAUACUAAACGGAUAAUCGAUCAAUAUAAUUUUUUAUAAUAUUAAUUUUUACGACAUAAUCUAUAAUAUAAAUAAUUUAAAUUAUUAAAAUAAAUUCAAAAUGAGACCCAAAAAUUAGAUUUCACUUGUGCAGUCCUUUCGAAGGAUUGCUGAAGCAAAGUCCUUUGUAAAAAGUCCCAGUUUGGAACAUUGCGCCAUCAAGGCCUGCUACGGGUAAUAGCUUUUUAAUAUUUUUAGUUGCUUUGAUUUUUAUUUUUUUUUAUAAUUUGAUUAAAAUUAUAUAUUUUUUAAUUUCUUUAGAUAAGAUAGUUUUUUUCGUAUUGAAGUUUUUUCUAAAUCAGAUAAAAAAAUUUAUAUUUUCGAACUCAUCUCGUCAAGAAAAAUAUAAAAAUUAUAAAAUUUUGAUUAAACGUAAAAAAAAAUUCAUUAAAAAUGAAAAACUCAUAAAUCAAAGUAUUUAAAAAAAUCUCCAAAAAAAAUACGUCGAGAUAUUUUUUUAUCUUUUAGCUAUAAUUUUUUUUUAUUUGUUUUUAGAGAAACCGAAAAAUAAAAAAACUAGUACUUGAGGUAUGCGUUUGACCCUGGUUACAUAAUCCUUUUACCAAGGCUCCGCUCUCGCUCGCCGCUCCCCCUCCUAAAAUAUAUGACUAUAUUUUAAUUAAAAAAUUAUAUAAUAUAGACACUCUCGCUCUCAAGGUAUUUGACAGAAGACGCUCUCACACAUUCACUCCUGCCCUGCUCGAGCUUUAUAUAACCUAGGUUUGACCAUCUUGUAAGGAAAAAAACAGCGCAUGCCACCUGCAAAUACAAAAUCGGCUUCGUUUCUGGAUGGGUCUGUUGGGAUCCAGCCCAAUGAAGAAAUUGAAGAAAGCCCAAGUUGAAAGCCCAUGAAGCCCAAUGAUACCCAAGCCCAAGCCCAUAACCAAUUCUUCUAGGAUGAGAAUGAAACGGGAAAAGAAAGAGAGUCUCUGACUUCCUGUUCUCUGACUUCUCUGUUAGAGAAGGCGCCCGAAAGAUACGAAGACUGAGCGCUCCCUCCCUUCCUCCAUGGUCAAGAAGGAGGCACGAAAUGAGCUCAGCCAUGAGCUCAGUUCUCACAUGCUCUGAAGGGCCUAUAAUUGAGAAGGUUGCCAAUAGAGGAAGGCCGUGUGGUGCAUAUGAAUGUAUCCCUUUGGGGAUACUGGGAUCACACAACAUUUGAUUGUGUGGGCCGAAGA
rnacentral:lncRNA from 1 species